AGGUGCCAUUCUGAAGGCCAGGAGUCUGAAUAUGAGUCACUCUGGCUGCUAUGGCCCCCUC
rnacentral:pre_miRNA from 1 species